rnacentral:rRNA from 2 species
ACGACUCUCGGCAACGGAUAUCUCGGCUCUCGCAUCGAUGAAGAACGUAGCGAAAUGCGAUACUUGGUGUGAAUUGCAGAAUCCCGUGAACCAUCGAGUUUUUGAACGCAAGUUGCGCCUCAAGCCUUCGGGCCGAGGGCACGCUUGCCUGGGCGUCACGCA